CAGUCGCCGCGGUAAUACGUAGGUGGCAAGCGUUAUCCGGAAUUAUUGGGCGUAAAGCGCGCGUAGGCGGUUUUUUAAGUCUGAUGUGAAAGCCCACGGCUCAACCGUGGAGGGUCAUUGGAAACUGGAGAACUUGAGUGCAGAAGAGGAAAGUGGAAUUCCAUGUGUAGCGGUGAAAUGCGCGGAGAUAUGGAGGAACACCAGUGGCGAAGGCGACUUUCUGGUCUGUAACUGACGCUGAUGUGCGAAAGCGUGUGGAUCAAACAGGAUUAGAUACCCCGGUAGUCCCUGUCUCUUAUAC
rnacentral:rRNA from 1 species